CAGUCGCCGCGGGAAUACGGAGGGGGCUAGCGUUGUUCGGAAUUACUGGGCGUAAAGCGCACGUAGGCGGCUUGGUAAGUUAGAGGUGAAAGCCCGGAGCUCAACUCCGGAAUUGUCUUUAAGACUGCCGAGCUAGCAGGUGAGAGAGGUAAGUGGAAUUCCGAGUGUAGAGGUGAAAUUCGUAGAUAUUCGGAGGAACACCAGUGGCGAAGGCGGCUCACUGGUCCAUUACUGACGCUGAGGUGCGAAAGCGUGGGGAGCAAACAGGAUUAGAUACCCCAGUAGUCCCUGUCUCUUAUAC
rnacentral:rRNA from 1 species